GGGUGUAGCUCAGUGGUGGAGCACAUGCUUAGCAUGCACAAGGCCCCAGGUUCAAUUCCCAGCACCUCCA
rnacentral:tRNA from 1 species